AUUGAACGCUGGCGGCAGGCCUAACACAUGCAAGUCGAGCGAGCGGCGGACGGGUGAGUAAUGUCUGGGAAACUGCCUGAUGGAGGGGGAUAACUACUGGAAACGGUAGCUAAUACCGCAUACCAUCAGAUGUUCCCAGAUGGGAUGAGCUAGUAGGUGGGGUAACGCCUCAACUAGGCGCCGAUCCCUCGCUGGUCUGAGAGGAUGACCAGCCACACUGGAACUGAGACACGGUCAAGACUCCUACGUGAGGCAGCAGUGGGGAAUAUCGCAAAAUGGGGGAAAGCCGAAUGCAGCCAUGCCGGGUGUGUGAAGAAGGCCUUCGGGUUGUAAAGCACUUUCAGCGGGGAGGCGUUACCCGCAGAAGAAGCACCGGCUAACUCCGUGCCAGCAGCCGCGGUAAUAC
rnacentral:rRNA from 1 species